UGGGGAAUCUUGGACAAUGGGGGCAACCCUGAUCCAGCCAUGCCGCGUGAGUGAUGAAGGCCUUAGGGUCGUAAAGCUCUUUCGCCUGUGAAGAUAAUGACGGUAGCAGGUAAAGAAACCCCGGCUAACUCCGUGCCAGCAGCCGCGGUAAUACGGAGGGGGUUAGCGUUGUUCGGAAUUACUGGGCGUAAAGCGCACGUAGGCGGACCAGAAAGUUGGGGGUGAAAUCCCGGGGGCUCAACCCCGGAACUGCCUCCAAAACUAUUGGUCUAGAGUUCGAGAGAGGUGAGUGGAAUUCCAAGUGUAGAGGUGAAAUUCGUAGAUAUUUGGAGGAACACCAGUGGCGAAGGCGGCUCACUGGCUCGAUACUGACGCUGAGGUGCGAAAGUGUGGGGAGCAAAACAGGAUUAGAUACCCUGGUAGUCCACACCGUAAAACGAUGAAUGCCAGUCGUCGGGUAGCAUGCUAUUCGGUGACACACCUAACGGAUUAAGCAUUCCGCCUGGGGAGUACGGUCGCAA
rnacentral:rRNA from 1 species